rnacentral:rRNA from 1 species
AUUGAACGCUGGCGGCAUGCCUUACACAUGCAAGUCGAACGGCAGCGGGGGAGAAGCUUGCUUUUCCUGCCGGCGAGUGGCGAACGGGUGAGUAAUACAUCGGAACGUGCCCUGUAGUGGGGGAUAACUAGUCGAAAGAUUAGCUAAUACCGCAUACGACCUGAGGGUGAAAGUGGGGGACCGCAAGGCCUCAUGCUAUAGGAGCGGCCGAUGUCUGAUUAGCUAGUUGGUGGGGUAAAGGCCUACCAAGGCGACGAUCAGUAGCUGGUCUGAGAGGACGAUCAGACACACUGGGAGUGAGACACGGCCCAGACUCCUACGGGAGGCAGCAGUGGGGAAUUUUGGACAAUGGGAGAAAGCCUGAUCCAGCAAUGCCGCGUGUGUGAAGAAGGCCUUCGGGUUGUAAAGCACUUUUGUCCGGAAAGAAAUGGCUCUGGUUAAUACCUGGGGUCGAUGACGGUACCGGAAGAAUAAGGACCGGCUAACUACGUGCCAGCAGCCGCCGUAA